rnacentral:rRNA from 1 species
CCUACGGGUGGCUGCAGUGGGGAAUAUUGCACAAUGGGGGAAACCCUGAUGCAGCGACGCCGCGUGAGUGAAGAAGUAUCUCGGUACGUAAAGCUCUAUCAGCAGGGAAGAAAAUGACGGUACCUGACUAAGAAGCGCCGGCUAAAGACGUGCCAGCAGCCGCGCUAAUACGUAGGGGGUACGCGUUAUCCGGAUUUACUGGGUGUAAAGGGGGCGUAGACGGCAGCACAAGUCUGGAGUGAAAUCCCGGGGCUGAACCCCGGAACUGCUUUGGAAACAGUGCGGCUGGAGUGCAGGAGGGGUAGGCGGAAUUCCUAGUGUAGCGGGGAAAUGCGUAGAUAUUAGGAGGAACACCGGUGGCGAAGGCGGCUUACUGGACUGUGACUGACGUUGAGGCUCGAAAGCGUGGGGAGCAAACAGGAUUAGAUACCCUUGUAGUC